rnacentral:rRNA from 1 species
UACGUAGGGUGCGAGCGUUAAUCGGAAUUACUGGGCGUAAAGCGUGCGCAGGCGGUUAUGUAAGACAGUUGUGAAAUCCCCGGGCUCAACCUGGGAACUGCAUCUGUGACUGCAUUGCUGGAGUGCGGCAGAGGGGGAUGGAAUUCCGCGUGUAGCAGUGAAAUGCGUAGAUAUGCGGAGGAACACCGAUGGCGAAGGCAAUCCCCUGGGCCUGCACUGACGCUCAUGCACGAAAGCGUGGGGAGCAAACAGG